AGCAGCCGCGGUAAUUCCAGCUCCAAUAGCGUAUAUUAAAGUUGUUGCAGUUAAAAAGCUCGUAGUUGAAUUUCGGAAUCAAUAUGCCGGUCAUGCCUUGGUAUGCACUGGUAUCUUUGAUUUCUCCCUUCUGACGAACUUUGAUGUCAUUAAUUUGGUGUCAUAGGGAAUCAGGACUGUUACUUUGAAAAAUUAGAGUGUUUAAAGCAAGCUCACGCUUGAAUACAUUAGCAUGGAAUAAUGAAAUAGGACGUUUGAUUCUAUUUUGUUGGUUUCUAGGAUCGACGUAAUGAUUAAUAGGGAUAGUUGGGGGCAUUAGUAUUCAAUUGUCAGAGGUGAAAUUCUUGGAUUUAUUGAAGACUAACUACUGCGAAAGCAUUUGCCAAGGAUGUUUUCAUUAAUCAAGAACGAAAGUUAGGGGAUCGAAGACGAUCAGAUACCGUCGUAAUC
rnacentral:rRNA from 1 species